rnacentral:rRNA from 1 species
UACGUAGGUGGCAAGCGUUGUCCGGAAUUACUGGGCGUAAAGCGUGCGCAGGCGGUUUUGUAAGCCAGGUGUGAAAUCCCCGGGCUCAACCUGGGAAUGGCAUUUGGGACUGCAAGGCUGGAGUGCGGCAGAGGAGACUGGAAUUCCUGGUGUAGCAGUGAAAUGCGUAGAUAUCAGGAGGAAUACCGAUGGCGAAGGCAGGUCUCUGGGCUGACACUGACGCUCAUGCACGAAAGCGUGGGGAGCGAACAGG